rnacentral:rRNA from 1 species
GAUAUUGGUCAAUAGCCUAACGGCUGAACCAGCAACUUGGAGGAAUAUAAAGCAAUAGCUGAUUGCAUUUAAAUGUAGUUACUACUUGGUAGUUUAAAGUUCUAGGUAGAAUUAUGAUGAUGACAUUAUCUAUCUAUUAGUCUUGACCAAAUUACGUGCCAGCAGUCGCGGCAAUACGUAGAAGACAAGUGUUAUUCAUCUUUAUUAGGUUUAAAGAGUACCAAGACGGUUAAUAAAGCCCAAAAUAAAUGAAUACGGGGGACACAUUAACUAGAGUUAUAUGAAAUGAAGCUAUAAGGUACUGUUGAGUGUAGAGAUGAAAUUUAAUGAUACCAGAUGAUUGGCACAGAUUAAUGCGAAGGCAUCUUCUUAUGUAAUAACUGACGUUGUAGGACGAAGGCUUUGGGUGUGAACAGGAUUAGAUACCCCAGUAAUCUUGGCAGAAAAUGAUGAAUGUCAUAGGUAUUAUUGGGUCUAUAAAUGAAAGUGUAAGCAUUCCACCUCAAGAGUAAUUUGGCAACAUUGGAACUGAAAUCAUUAGACCGUUUCUGAAACCAGUAGUGAAGUAUGUUGUUUAAUUAGAUGAUACACAAGAACCUUACCACAAUCUGAAUAUAUAUAAAUUAUAUUUACAAGCGCUGCACGGCUGUCUACAGUUAAUGUCGUGAGAUUUUGGUUAGCUCCAUAAAAUUGACGUAAACCCUAAUUUUAUUUAUAAAUAUAAUUAACAUCGCUAUAUAUGAUGUUUUAAGAGGGAACAUGACAAGUCAUCAUGG